AAAGGUAAGCUACUAAGAGCGAAUGGUGGAUGCCUUGACUGGUAAAGGCGAUGAAGGACGUACUAGACUGCGAUAAGCUACGGGGAGCUGUCAAGAAGCUUUGAUCCGUAGAUUUCCGAAUGGGGCAACCCAAUGUAUAGAGAUAUACAUUACCUAUAUAGGAGCGAACGAGGGGAAUUGAAACAUCUUAGUACCCUCAGGAAAAGAAAUCAAUAGAGAUUGCGUCAGUAGCGGCGAGCGAAAGCGCAAGAGGGCAAACCCAGUGCUUGCACUGGGGGUUGUAGGACUGCAAUGUGCAAGAGGUAAGUUUAGCAGAACAUUCUGGAAAGUAUAACCAUAGAGGGUGAUAGUCCCGUAUGCGAAAAACAAACCUUAGCUAGCAGUAUCCUGAGUAGGGCGGGACACGAGGAAUCCUGUCUGAAUCUGGGUCGACCACGAUCCAACCCUAAAUACUAAUACCAGAUCGAUAGUGCACAAGUACCGUGAGGGAAA
rnacentral:rRNA from 1 species